UGGCUCCGCCGCCCGCGGCGGCAAUUCGCCUCGGGUUUGCCAUUUUCGGUCGAAUUCGAGCAAACUUGCAUCGGUCCCUGCGAUAAAACAAACCUAGGGCCCUCAAUGGGCCAAAAAAUCAUGAAAACUGAAACUUACAUGCGGCAGUGCUCUCGGGUGCGGUGGCUCCUCCGGCGUGAGUCACAUUUUGAUGUUUGGCUCUGAUCAACCUGUAGAGAAAAGAACGGUGAUCACAGUGGUAUAAAAUUUGCAUCGAACGGAGGCUGGAAAGGGCCUCAUCGGAGGUAAAAAUAGAAAGGAGUCGCGGCGGCACCGCCGGACUUCAGCUGGGUUUUUCGGGCGUUUGGCUGUUGGUUUCGCUCCGGUUUAGUCAUAGGCAGA
rnacentral:lncRNA from 1 species